GGGAAUGUGGCUUAGUGGUGGUAGAGUGCUUGCCUAGCGUGCAUGAAGCCUGGGUUCAAUUCCUCAGCACCA
rnacentral:tRNA from 1 species